UACAGAGGUCCCAAGCGUUGUUCGGAUUCAUUGGGCGCAAAGGGUGCGUAGGCGGCAGGGUAAGUUGGAUGUGAAAUCCUGGGGCUUAACCUCAGAAUUGCAUUCAAUACUGCCUUGCUAGAGAGCUGUAGAGGAGACUGGAAUUUACGGUGUAGCAGUGAAAUGCGUAGAUAUCGUAAGGAACGCCAGUGGCGAAAGCGAGUCUCUGGGCAGCAUCUGACGCUGAGGCACGAAGGCCAGGGGAGCAAACGGG
rnacentral:rRNA from 1 species